CUUGUACUCCCUCCGUCCGAAAAUACUUGUCAUUGAAAUGGAUAUAUCUAGAUGUAUUUUAGUUCUAGACACAUCCAUUUUGAUGACAAGUAAUUCCGGACGAAGGGAGUACUUG
rnacentral:pre_miRNA from 1 species